rnacentral:rRNA from 1 species
UACGUAGGGGGCAAGCGUUGUCCGGAAUUAUUGGGCGUAAAGAGCUCGUAGGCGGUCUGUCGCGUCGGUCGUGAAAACUUGGGGCUUAACCCUGAGCUUGCGGUCGAUACGGGCAUGACUGGAGUUCGGCAGGGGAGACUGGAAUUCCAGGUGUAGCGGUGAAAUGCGUAGAUAUCUGGAGGAACACCGGUGGCGAAGGCGGCAUCCUGGACCGGCAUUGACGCUGAGGCGCGAAAGCCAGGGGAGCAAACGGG